GACGAACGCUGGCGGCGUGCUUAACACAUGCAAGUCGAACGAUGAAGCCGGAGCUUGCUCUGGUGAAUUAGUGGCGAACGGGUGAGUAACACGUGAGUAACCUGCCCUUGACUCUGGGAUAACUGCGGGAAACUGUAGCUAAUACCGGAUACGACCCUCGGAGGCAUCUCCUGGGGGUGGAAAGAAUUUCGGUCAAGGAUGGACUCGCGGCCUAUCAGCUAGUUGGUGAGGUAAAGGCUCACCAAGGCGACGACGGGUAGCCGGCCUGAGAGGGGAACGGGCCACAAUGGGACUGAGAAACGGCCCAGACUCCUACGGGAGGCAGCAGUGGGGAAUAUUGCACAAUGGGCGCAAGCCUGAUGCAGCAACGCCGCGUGAGGGAUGACGGCCUUCGGGCUGUAAACCUCUUUUAGCAGGGAAGAAGCGAAAGUGACGGUACCUGCAGAAAAAGCACCGGCUAACUACGUGCCAGCCGCCGCCGUAA
rnacentral:rRNA from 1 species